GAGCAAAGGAAUUUGAAAGCUCCAACUCUGGAUCAUCGCCACCACGGCGCAGAGGGACAGGAGGAGAGGAGCGUCCACUCUUGCCACCAGCCACCACCAUGGACCAGCUGGAAGGACCUGGGAUGGGGUUCGGAACAACACCCGCUGUUGAGGCACCAGGACAAGGUAGCCAUGGUUCCUCUAUCGAGGUCUAUGGAGAGUUCCCGACUUCCGACUCGGAAAGGUGGCGCCGGAGGUAUUUGGAACACACCAUAACAUCCUUCACUUCGACCGGCAGUGAGUCUGCUUAUAGGCUUGGUGAAGACUGCUUGGCUUCUUGCUGUCUCCAUGGAGAUCGCAUCUUCUUCAUUGUUCUCCAAAAUCCUCUCCACAUAAGAAAAUCCACCUGCAUCGCACGGCUCGCAGCACGCGAUGGAGAGCACCACGAACCACAGAGAAUGAAGAAAGAGUUAAUUGGAAAGUUUGAGGGAAGGUAUGAUGUCAUCCUGCCAGCAGCCAGCAACGACGUGUUACUUGGAGCCUGCAGCUCUUUGCUCUCUACACCCCAAAACAAGGCUGUGCUCAUGCCACCACGGAUGCUGUGGAGUGACAUCUCUUCCUGACAUCAGCCAAAUGGCAGGUGGGCAACCUCAUGGCUAGCCCAGUUCUGCUGCCAUGGUAUACCCCAGUACUCCUGCCGGGCGCUUCUGCUUGGGCCACUACACCAGAUGACACGAUACCCCCUGCUGAUGGUUGGGUCCACUGAGGAUCUGUAAGGGGUUCCUUGUUCUCCAGCAGACAGCAAUCCUCUACCCAGCAAACAACCACUUACACCUCACGUUGUGUCCUAACAAACACUGCCAAGACCUUGUGGCAUCUGCUGGACCCGCUGUUGGCAAGCUACAUGUAUCCUGAUUGGAUUCCAAACAAUAGACUUACAACAAUUCAGGAAUAGCACGUUUGUUGCAACAACAGCAGAUAUAUCAUGAUUCCCUGCCUCGUAAUCACCACAUGACUUUCAAGAGGAGAUAAGAAUAUUUGAAGAAGUGUGAAGAAGAAUCGCUUGUUCAGUGAAUUACAGUCACCAUAGUACUUUUUUUAUAAUUUUUAUUCAAAUGCUUGCAAUUAGGUGUUGGUUGGCAGCCUACUCGAUGUUUUGAGUGUCGUGCUGUGGAAGCUAUUUUUAUAGCUCCCAAAGUAACGUUUGUCAGCAAGUCGAAGAAUUAGGGGAUUUGAUUAAGCGCUAAUAUCUGGACACAUCGCACGCACACACACACGCACGUACGCAUGCACGCACGCACGCACACACACACACACACACACACACACACACACACACACACACACACACACACACAUGCACUCACACACAUACAGUUGUCUCAUAGCCCUGUCACUAUGGCCACCAGCGUUGGUGGUGGGCGGGAGACUCAUUGGUGGCGUCCUCGUUACAUAACAGGAACCUGUGAGAAGCGCUCUGUUUGUUUUCAAGCACAGGCAAGUCAUCAAGGACUGCAUAUGGCCACCAACACAUACUGAUCAGCACAGUCACCAUGCACGGUUCAAGAGCCACAGAGUGAACCAUAAGGGUUCACAGUCAUCUCACUGCAGCAUGUUUCCAAGACUUCUGAAUAUUUUUGUGGGUGAUUUCGAAACACGUAUCAAUAAAAUAAAAUUCAAUAAACUCAAAGAACUGUAACAACCCAGAAGUACCGGUACAAGACAAUAAAGUGAAGUGUCCAUUAAAGUGUUUUAAAGACUAAAAUAGCAUAAAUAUAUAUGAGGAGUGAGUAUGGAAUUGGUUUUCAAAAGGAGUGACCUGUAUCUUUGUCCGGAGGGUAGGUGGUCUUGAUGGUGGUGCAGAUUUGGUUUUGUCUGAGGCUAUCGUCUGCUGUGAUUGGUGUUAAGUGAUACUUGGUGCAGUCCAAUGAUUUUGCUGCUCAUGCAUUACAUCAUAAUACAUUUAUGCUUGAUAAUUCCAAUCCUAUUAUCUAUAAUUGAAAGCUCUGCAUGUCUGUAUCAGAACUAUCAGUAACGUACAAGUGACAGUUCUGACGUACAAUUGAUUUUUAAUCCUGUUUAAUAAUCACCAACAUGAUCCAAAAACCCAUUAAUAUGUCAUCUACAUGGGAACAUCCAAAGGGGGCGUCAAAAUUUGUUUUAGUGUCCUGGCAAUGUGUUGUUCUUGCAUUCUUUCUGAUAUCAAGCAACUUCUCUGCUCAUCAUCAACAAUGUGCUCCCAAUGUCCCGAGGGUGCGAGACGGGGACUCACUGACAGAGGGAAGAGCUCCUUCCUGAACGUAAAAACUGAGUCUGUAGCCUCACCCUCCAACAUCAAAGUCCAACAGCCAUUUUUGGAAAGAAUAUAUAUUGUGUCCGUUGUACUUAUUUAUAAUUCUAUAAAUUUUAUUUAUUUAUAAUGUCUUACAAGUUUUUGAUCCACAUGAAACCCAAGGUUAAAAAAUUACAAAAUGCAGUGCACCACCAUAGAUGGAGCAGUAUUUUUCUAAUUUAGGAUUUGCAUUGGUAUGUGUGUGCAUGUGCUUGUGCGCGUGGUGUUUGUGUAUGCAAAUUGUAAUAAAUAAAUCAGGCCUAGAAAUAAAUUAUUAGAGACCCCGCCAUUGGGCAUGUUCAAAAUGUUCCCUGUGACCUUGAACAUCAUACAUCAUGGCAUUAGCAUUCUGACAGAAUCUGCUGAACAUGUGAUGUGUUUGAAAGAUGCUUUGCCUCGCAGUCUUCCCUCCUCUGUCCCCUAAAUAUAUACUCAGUCAAGCCCUUCAGUUUCCUCUUGGUUCAACAAAUGACCUGGUCAGCUGCCACCAUUGUGGAGGACUUUAUCAGCUGCGAUUUCUAUUUCUCUUCUCUCUCUCUCUCUCUCUCUCUCUCUCUCUCUCUCUCUCUCUCUCUCUCUCUCUCUCUCUCUCUCUCUCUCUCCCUCUCUCCUA
ensembl:lncRNA